rnacentral:rRNA from 1 species
UCGGUUGAUCCUGCCGGAGGUCACUGCUAUCAGUGUUCGACUAAGCCAUGCAAGUCAAAUGUUCUUCGUGAACAUGGCGGACUGCUCAGUAACACGUGGAUAACCUGCCCUUAGGAUUGGCAUAACACCGGGAAACUGGUGAUAAUACCGAAUAGACCAUUUAUGCUGGAAUGCUUUUUGGUUCAAAGGCUUCGGCUGCCUAAGGAUGGAUCUGCGGCCUAUCAGGUAGUAGUGGGUGUAAUGUACCUACUAGCCUACGACGGGUACGGGUUGUGAGAGCAAGAGCCCGGAGAUGGAUUCUGAGACAUGAAUCCAGGCCCUACGGGGCGCAGCAGGCGCGAAAACUUUACAAUGCGGGAAACCGCGAUAAGGGGACACUGAGUGCCAGCAUAUUAUGUUGGCUGUCCACAUGUAUAAAAACCAUGUGUUAGCAAGGGCCGGGCAAGACCGGUGCCAGCCGCCGCGGUAACACCGGCGGCCCGAGUGGUGAUCACUUUUAUUGGGUCUAAAGGGUCCGUAGCCGGUUUGAUCGGUCUUCUGGGAAAUCUGACAGCUCAACUGUUAGGCUUUCAGGGGAUACUGUUAAACUUGGGACCGGGAGAGGUAAGAGGUACUACAGGGGUAGGAGUGAAAUCUUGUAAUCCCUGUGGGACCACCAGUGGCGAAGGCGUCUUACCAGAACGGGUCCGACGGUGAGGGACGAAAGCUGGGGGCACGAACCGGAUUANAUACCCGGGUAGUCCCAGCCGUAACGAUGUUCGCUAGGUGUCNNGNNGGUGCGACCGUUUCUGGUGCCGUAGGGAAGCCGUGAAGCGAACC